AGGUCGUUUUGGGGACAAUUCCUAAGUAGACUCUUAUAGCGUUCUCAUGCUUCAUACAAUGACUCCCCCAUUUGUUGUUCAAAAUUGGCAAUGGGCAUUUUGAGCUU